GUAAGUGAUUUGUAGCUAGCUAGUGUUUGUCCACACUCCAAUUAUAAUCAGUCGUUAGGCUUACUGACCUUUAGAAUUCACAUCAAAAGAUGAGAGGUGUCAGUAGAUUUGGAAAAGAGGAAAGGUGGCUACACAAAGCUGCCACCAAUAAGACCAAACCACAGUGCUCAGAAAGCAAACAACGUUCAGGCUCUUGAUGUGGGUGUGCACAGUCCAGAAACUAGAGACAGCACACAUUUUGCUCCACUUGUUCUACCUCCAAUCAAUGGUAGCCAUCCACUACCAUUUCAGAGAAAAAAAGGUUCAUAUGAGCAGCUGCAGGAGACUGGUCUGGAUGGAUGUCAUGACAUUGAAGCUUCCAAAGAGCAGCUGGAGAUGGAG